rnacentral:lncRNA from 1 species
ACAUCAACCUCUUGAAACAGUUAUUCUUUUGGGACCCGUAGCAUAUGUGUAGACAUGUGCACACAAAGAUAGAAGAUAUGCAAGUUCAUCAUGGAAGAAAGAAGGCAGACCAGCUCCAUGAACCAAGGUGCAGCUCCCAGCUCACUAUACUUGAGGCCACUGCAGUGCCACUUCACAUGGUGCAGGAGUAAACAUUGACCUUGCAGGUCUGAAAACAUCUGCCUUUAGUUAUUUCUCAUUUUGGAGAAAGAAGAUUUUGAAACUGAAGAUUUAAGUAAUUUGCCAGAGUCAGAAUGCUGUAAGCAUCAGAACUCGAUUUUCGAACUUAAGUUUAUCUGACUCAAAAGCUUUUGCCUUUCACCACCACCCUAUUGCUUCUAAAAUGUCAAACAUCGGCUGAACCACAGGACAGGUAUCCUAUAAAUGAGGAGGAUGUGGAUGCACCCCCAUGUGUACGUAAGGACACACGAGCUAAAGGCUUUACCUGACCCAGUAAAAGUGUCAAGCGCUCCAUCUCCAGUCGUGGCUGUGGUUUCACUGCUGUUCAAGGGCUCUGUUUUGACUGCAAGAAGAGACACUACGUAGAAGAAUAAGUACAUUGAAUCACUGCUAUAUCCUUAUUGCCUGCAAAGCUGCCUGAAAAAGUAGUUUCUCAAGAAAAGCAGUUUCUCAAGAAACAUUUCAGUAAUAAAUGAAUGAGUGAAAUGGUGUGUAAGCCAUAACCAUCUUAGAAACAGCUGUGAAAUCAAGCAUGUGAGUGUGACAAGGUGAAUUUAAGUGUGAAAAACUGGGAUAAAUGAGUUUAAAUGGCAGUCAGGAAUCAGAAGAUUUGCCAAUCAUGGAACAAACAGAAGAAAAAGAGAUGUGAAAUCCAAGAACAAAGAUGAGCUCAAAAACAGUACCAAGUAGUAUCUGUAGCACAUCCCGAUAACAGACUUAAUUACAGUCAAUGCUAAAUGCUCGUAAAGUCAUUAUCUUCUACUAGACUCGCCCAACCCAAAGACUUUUUUUUUUUUUU